rnacentral:lncRNA from 1 species
CAAAACACAGUUUAUCACUAAUAUCUUACUAACUAUUAAUAAGAUACUCCCAAAUAUAUGAAAUAUUAAAAUUUCAAAAUACAUAACCAAACUCCAAUACUCCAUCUAUAUAAACAUAAUCAUAAUGUUAUAAAGAGAAAUAACACAUGUUUGAUUUGAAUAAAAUCAAAAAAUAAUUUGGUUUUUCGGUUCGGUUUUUCGGUUCAGCUAAGUGAAUCGAAUACCGAACCGACAUUUCGGUUUUUUUUACAAACGGUAUAUUCGGUUUUUUUUAAAAAUAAAAAUCGAACCGAAUUAGAAAAAACCGUCGGUUCGGUUCGGUUUUUUUAAGACUACGGUUUUUUUGCCCACCCCUAACCCGAUCUGCCUCUUUUACUCACCCACUAGCAGGCUGUCACUCACCCACAAAACUUGUCACGCCACGGCCAUUGUUGACCAGCCAUCAUCGCUGUCACGCCACGCCCAUUGCCGACCAGCCCAUCACUGAUCACAUCGCCGUUGACGGUGUGCUUGACGAUUUUGGACCUUUUUCACCUACGUAGGUAAUUAAAUUUAGCAUGUUGAGGAAAGUUUUGAUUUAUUGUAUUUAUAUUUUAAAAUUAUUAGAAAUAAGUUAUUGGAAAUGUAGAUUUUGUUUGAAUUAUAUAUGAUUAAUACAAUUUAUUUUUCAUGGUAUAAAAAUGAAGGAUUUGGAAAAAAAACUACAAAGUCGAAGAUUUUGAAGAAUUAGAUUAACAACAAUUUAAAUGGAAAUAAUGAAAAAACUGAUAAUGAUGUGGAUGUGAAACCAAAAAAGUAUGAGCCAAAGUUUGGGAUGUUGUUUGAUAAACACCAUUAUCUUCUUAUGAGCCAAAAAAGGAAGAAUUAGAUGACAACAAUUAAGGUAAGAUUAAACUACUUACUUAAUUAUUCUACAAUUAAUUUAAUUUUAAUUUUAAUGUAUCUUUUUAUGGAUUUGCAGGAUUCAAAUGUACAAACACCAUUAUCUUCUGAGGUGGAUAUUGUAGUCCCAACGCAUGAGAGCAAUAAGGAUCCUGUAAGUUUUAUGUUCUUUGAUGUAAUACUAUUUAAUUAUUUUAAUUUUUAAUGGUCACUAAAUAAUGGUCAUUAUUUAAGAACCUGUGAUCGCAUACCAAUUACAAGGAUGUGAUAUUUAUCCAUGGUUUCCUUUUGAUUCUUACAUUGUAAGUUAUAAUCCAAUUUCUAUAUUUAUGCCUAGUUAAUUUUGCAUUUUCUGGAAUGUAAUAUGGUUCUUAUUUUGUACAAACUAGCAAUCCCCAUCACUCCCAUCUAUGUUGCCUUAUUCUUCAUCUUGGAUAUCGUAUAAAGGUUCUCAACAAAGGAGUUUUCAGUAAUCGCUACUUCAACAGAAUGAUAAUAACAAAGAAGUUUGAAGCAGACUUAACAGAUUGAUCAUUGACUUAUUCUUUUGUUGUGUUUUGUGUAUUAGUUGGUUGGAUGAUAUUACUCUAGUGCUCAAUGAUUGAACGUGGAAAUAUUUUGAAGGGUUUUUAUCCAUAUAUUCAAAGGGUUAAGUGUGUCAAUAACCAUUACAACAAUAAGAGUAGUUCAUAUAGAAAUGUCAAAUUAACCACACACAAAAGAAAAAGGUACAAAUAACUUAUUUCUAGUAAUUUUAAAAUAUAAAUACAAAAAAAAACCAAAUACUUUUCUAAUCAAAGUAUCACAUACAAGGUUUCGUAAAGGCCGUGUCAAAAGAAUUUCUUUAACUGAUUAAAUAUACUAAUUUUAGGUGACAAUAAUCUAAUAAUUUUAAACUAAAUUAACUUAAUUUCGCGAAAAAAAAUUCAAAAAACGCAUAGAAUUACGGAUCAAGUCUAAUUAACAAUCAAACGUAGUAACUCAGAUGCAUUUAUGCCAAAAAGAAUGUUCAUAAGACUACACAAAACCACCCAAAAAAAAUUAUAAAAUAAUAAAAGCAGCAGCUGCAAUAGAUUUUGCCUGAACAAGAAACACAACAAAACAAAGAGAAUAAAUCAAUCAAGGGCAUAAAUAGAUUGAACAAAAAAGGGCAAGAUCAGAGAAGAAACUGACCCACGACACUGGAUCCUCCUAAGCCUAGCGUCAUGGUUGCGGUUUUGAUGAUGCGUUAGCUGAGGUCUGACCAAAAUAUUGACAGUGACCUUGUGGGUGAGUGAGAGGUGAACGAGCUUCGUGGGUGAGAGUGAGAGCCGAGAGGGACAGAGCGGGUGAGAGAGAGAGAGGGUGAGUGAGGGGAGCGAUAAGAAUUUAGAUUUUUUUAGUUUGUUUUGAUUAGCUU